GAAAAGAAAGAAAAAAAGAAGGAAGGAAGGAAGGAAGGAACGAAGGAACGAAGGAACGAAGGAAGGAAAAAGGGGGCUCCAUAUGCAGUUUCAGCACUAAGGGAUCCUGACAAGCUAUCUUUGUUGAGUUUUGGUAUUGAUUUUAUGUGUCAGUUCCUGAGAAGGAAAGAAGUCCUUGAGUGGUUGCGUAAAUGUGGUUCAAGUAAGAUGCCGAACCGUGCCAGCCAUGUGGACUCUGCCACGGUGAAGGAGGAAGGAAGAUUGAAGAACACAGAUGUGCACAGAGCAAAGACCAUGUGAAGACACAGAGAAAACAGCCAUUUACAACCCAAGAAGAGAGUCCUAGAGGACAGUGUGAUCUCUGACUUCUGGCCUCCAGAAUUGUCAGAAAAUGAAUUUAUAUCAUUUAAGCCACCGUUCUGUUGUACUUUGUUAUGGCAGCCUGAAUGGGCCAAUACACUGAGGUUCCUUGGAAGACUUUCAGAUGGGGACUUGCAUGCAAGAAGUUUAACAGGGAGAGCUCUCAAGAGCAACCCCUAGAGGGAGCAAGGGAGGAAAGGAGAAUUGGGCAGAGAGAAGCUGACCUCUGAUGCAGUUGCUACAGGUUCUCAGCUGAUCCUACAGGGUGUUCUGGAACUGGGAUGGCCCCGUAGAGUUGCCUGGAAUCAAGGCAGGGCCCAGGGAGGGAGAUAACCUUGGCUGAGGCAGCUUCCUUCAGCAGAGGGAAUUCCCAGUGAGGGACUCUAUUGUGGCUCUUGGCAGUGAGCACUGGACAGCUGGGGAGUGAGUUUCUCUGCCCUGACAAGGGGUCUGGGUGACACCUCACAGCAUCCAUCACAGAACCUCCAGCUGCUAGUCUGCAGACCAGGAUAAGCGGAAUGUCUGUGGUGCAUUUCCCCGCAGGCAGCUGUGAGGAGCUAAUGAUAUAAUGGAUAUGAAAAUGCUCUGCAAACUGUAAACACUAUCAGUACGUUGUUAUUCAUCAUUACCUGUUAUUUGUUGCUAUCCUGUCCUUUCACCUUCCCCAGGCUGGAAUUAUCACAUUUUCUCUUUCCCUAGCUUUAUUCCUGGGUCAUUGGCACAGGGAAAAAAUAAGAAGAGAGAUCAGAGUGGAAUUCUAAAAAACAAAGAUCCUGUGCUUUGCUGCCUAAAAUAUGUACAAUCCUCAGUUGGCACUGUCAGGAAUGGGGACCGCCCUCACAGAGAAGUGGCACUUCCGUCCCUAGCCAGCCUCUGUGUGAGCUGGACUCUAAGGUCAGGAGAAUGAGGAGGCUGUGAAGGUCUUGGUUGUCUCUUUUUCCCCUCAUCUCUACUGAGACAUGGAUUGAGACAGGGACCCAUAAAUCACCUUGGAGUUAAAAAGAAAAGCCCUCUCAGGCAACAGCAUUUCACAGCAGCAACAGGAAGUUGUAAGGAAAAGAGAAAAGUCAAAAUUCAAGUGAAAAUCUGAGUCAUGGUUCAGAGAGGCCACAAAUACCUUUCUUAUGGAGAGUCAGAAGAGAGAACACAGAGAAAACCGAGAGGUGUGUGUUUCUUGUUUUGUUUUGUUUUUUGAACUUUUUAAGAAGAGUUUAUUUUUAAUCCUGCGAAGCUAGUAAACAUCUCUUUAAAGAAUGUGUGUGGUCACACAAGUUGAAGGGCCAGAAAAUAACCUCCUCACAGCCCAGAUGGUUUUAAGUAGGAACAGAUAGGAAGGAGGGUGAGUUAAAGCUCCCACUACAGGACCCCGCUGUUUCAGCCGCUUUCCUCUACCACUAGCUCAGGAAGAGCGAGGGCUGCCUCUCAGACACAGGGAAUUCCUGCAGGCUGAUUUCAGGCACUCCAGAAUGAGGUGUCUGUAUUUUCCCAAGUGCUGAGGGUCACCCUACCUCCUCCUCUUUAUCAAGAUUCUCUGAACCAUUCAGGAAUUGAUACAUAAGUUAAAAAUAAAUUACUUAGGCAGAUAGUGAGGGUACAGAAGUCCUCGGUAAGGUUUUCCUUUUAAUGAAAAGCAGCCCCAAAUGCUUUUCCUUUCUAACAAAGAGCAGCCUGUGAAAUCAAGCCAAAGACAUAGAUGCCAGCAGGGGAAUACUUCCCAGGACUAGGCAUGUUCAAAAUGGCGGUUCCAUCUUCUCUUCUUUUUUUUUUGUUUGUUUGUUUGUUGUUGUUUGAGACGGAGUCUCGCUCUGUUG